rnacentral:rRNA from 1 species
GAUGAACGCUAGCGGCAGGCUUAAUACAUGCAAGUCGUGGGGCAGCGCAGGUAGCAAUACUGGGCGGCGACCGGCAAACGGGUGCGGAACACGUACACAACCUUCCGAGAAGUGGGGAAUAGCCCAGAGAAAUUUGGAUUAAUACCCCCGUAACAUAACGAUGUGGCAUCACAUUGUUAUUAUAGCUUCGGCGCUUCUUGAUGGGUGUGCGGCUGAUUAGAUAGUUGGCGGGGUAACGGCCCACCAAGUCUACGAUCAGUAGCUGAUGUGAGAGCAUGAUCAGCCACACGGGCACUGAGACACGGGCCCGAUUCCUACGGGGAGCAGCAGUAAGGAUAUUGGUCAAUGGACGCAAGUCUGAACCAGCCAUGCCGCGU